rnacentral:rRNA from 1 species
AUUGAACGCUGGCGGCAGGCCUAACACAUGCAAGUCGAGCGGAUGAAGGGAGCUUGCUCCUGGAUUCAGCGGCGGACGGGUGAGUAAUGCCUAGGAAUCUGCCUGGUAGUGGGGGAUAACGUCCGGAAACGGGCGCUAAUACCGCAUACGUCCUGAGGUAGAAAGGGGGGGAUCUUUGGACCUCACGCUAUCAGAUGAGCCUAGGUCGGAUUAGCUAGUUGGUGGGGUAAAGGCCUACCAAGGCGACGAUCCGUAACUGGUCUGAGAGGAUGAUCAGUCACACUGGAACUGAGACACGGUCCAGACUCCUACGGGAGGCAGCAGUGGGGAAUAUUGGACAAUGGGCGAAAGCCUGAUCCAGCAAUGCCGCGUGUGUGAAGAAGGUCUUCGGAUUGUAAAGCACUUUAAGUUGGGAGGAAGGGCAGUAAGUUAAAACCUUGCUGUUUUGACGUUACCAACAGAAUAAGCACCGGCUAACUUCGUG